AUUCUACCCAUGUGGGGAAGGAUGAGAAGCUUCGACUAAGGUUCGAUUCGAGCGAAAGCGAGAAAGCGUUGCCAACGGCAACGACCCGAAGGGCGAAGCGCGCAGCGCUGAGUAAUCCUUCCCCCACCACCA
rnacentral:sRNA from 8 species